rnacentral:rRNA from 1 species
UAACAAGGAUUCCCCUAGUAACUGCGAGUGAAGCGGGAAAAGCUCAAAUUUAAAAUCUGGCGGUCUCUGGCCGUCCGAGUUGUAAUCUAGAGAAGUAAUGCCCGUGCUGGACCGUGUAUAAGUCUCCUGGGAUGGGGCGUCAUAGAGGGUGAGAAUCCCGUCUUUGACACGGACUACCAGUGCAUUGUGGUAUGCUCUCAAAGAGUCGAGUUGUUUGGGAAUGCAGCUCAAAAUGGGUGGUAAAUUCCAUCUAAAGCUAAAUACUGGCGAGAGACCGAUAGCGAACAAGUACCGUGAGGGAAAGAUGAAAAGAACUUUGGAAAGAGAGUUAAACAGUACGUGAAAUUGCUGAAAGGGAAACGCUUGAAGUCAGUCGCGUUGGCCGGAAAUCAGCCUUGCUUUUGCCUGGUGUACUUUCUGGUUGACGGGUCAGCAUCAAUUUUGAUCACUGGAAAAGGCUCAAGGGAAUGUGGCAGCUUCGGCUGUGUUAUAGCCCUUGUUCAUAUACAGUGGUUGGGAUUGAGGAACUCAGCACGCCGCAAGGCCGGGUUUCGACCACGUUCGUGCUUAGGAUGCUGGCAUAAUGGCUUUAAGCGACCCGUCUUGAAACACGGACCAAGGAGUCUAACAUGCCUGCGAGUAUUUGGGUGGAAAACCCAGGUGCGCAAUGAAAGUGAAAGUUGAGAUCCCUGUCGUGGGGAGCAUCGACGCCCGGACCAGAACUUUUGGGACGGAUCCGCGGUGGAGCAUGUAUGUUGGGACCCGAAAGAUGGUGAACUAUGCCUGAAUAGGGUGAAGCCAGAGGAAACUCUGGUGGAGGCUCGUAGCGAUUCUGACGUGCAAAUCGAUCGUCAAAUUUGGGUAUAGG